rnacentral:rRNA from 1 species
UGGGGAAUUUUGGACAAUGGGCGAAAGCCUGAUCCAGCAAUGCCGCGUGUGUGAAGAAGGCCUUCGGGUUGUAAAGCACUUUUGUCCGGAAAGAAAUCCUUGGCUCUAAUACAGUCGGGGGAUGACGGUACCGGAAGAAUAAGCACCGGCUAACUACGUGCCAGCAGCCGCGGUAAUACGUAGGGUGCAAGCGUUAAUCGGAAUUACUGGGCGUAAAGCGUGCGCAGGCGGUUUGCUAAGACUGAUGUGAAAAUCCCCGGGCUCAACCUGGGAACUGCAUUGGUGACUGGCAGGCUAGAGUAUGGCAGAGGGGGGUAGAAUUCCACGUGUAGCAGUGAAAUGCGUAGAGAUGUGGAGGAAUACCGAUGGCGAAGGCAGCCCCCUGGGCAAUACUGACGCUCAUGCACGAAAGCGUGGGGAGCAAACAGGAUUAGAUACCCUGGUAGUCCACGCCCUAAACGAUGUCACUAGUUGUUGGGGAUCAUUUCCUUAGUAACGUAGCUAACGCGUGAAGUUGACCGCCUGGGGAGUACGGUCGCAAGAUUAAAACUU